CACGUAGGCGGAUUUGUUAGUCAGGGGUGAAAUCCCGGGGCUCAACCUCGGAACUGCCUUUGAUACUGCAAAUCUCGAGUCCGAUAGAGGUGGGUGGAAUUCCUAGUGUAGAGGUGAAAUUCGUAGAUAUUAGGAAGAACACCGGUGGCGAAGGCGGCCCACUGGAUCGGUACUGACGCUGAGGUGCGAAAGCGUGGGGAGCAAACA
rnacentral:rRNA from 1 species